rnacentral:rRNA from 1 species
GACGAACGCUGGCGGCGUGCUUAACACAUGCAAGUCGAACGGAAAGGCCUCUUUCGGGGGGUACUCUCGUGUCGAACGCGUGAGUAACACAUGUGUAACCUGCCCUCUACAUUUGGAUAACUUCAGAGAACUGGGGCUAAUACCGGAUAUGAGCUCCUGUUCCACGGGGUGGGUUUUAAAGUUUUCGCGGUUGGGGAUUGACUCGCGGCUUAUCACCCUGUUGGUUGGGUAGUGGCUUACCAAAGCUUUUACGGGUAUCCCGCCUGAGAGGGGGACCGGCCACAUUGGGACUGAGAUACGGCCCAGACUCCUAAGGGAGGGCAGAAUUGGGAAUAAUGCACAAUCGGUCGGAGCCCGAUGACGCCAAGCCGUGUGGGGGAUGACCGCCUUUCGGUUGUAAACCGCCUUUGCUCAUAAACAAGCUUUGUGUGACGGUAGUGGGUAAAGAAGCACCGGCUAACUACGUG